GCGAGAUUGGUGAAAUUGGUAUACACGCCGGAUUUAGACUCCGGUGGCUUGUCCGUGUGGGUUCGAGUCCCAUGUCUCGCACCA
rnacentral:tRNA from 1 species